GGAAUAUUGGGCAAUGGGAGCAAUCCUGACCCAGCCAUGCCGCGUGCGGGAGGACGGCCCUAUGGGUUGUAAACCGCUUUUGUUGGUGAGCAAUAAGGUCUACGUGUAGACUGAUGAGAGUACCCAGCGAAUAAGCAUCGGCUAACUCCGUGCCAGCAGCCGCGGUAAUACGGAGGAUGCGAGCGUUAUCCGGAUUCAUUGGGUUUAAAGGGUGCGCAGGCGGACGGCCAAGUCAGGGGUGAAAUCCCGCCGCUCAACGGUGGAUGUGCCUUUGAUACUGGUCGACUGGAGUACCGGUGGCGCGGCCGGAAUGUGACGUGUAGCGGUGAAAUGCAUAGAUAUGUCACAGAACGCCGAUCGUGAAGACAGGCCGCGAACCGGUGACUGACGCUCAGGCACGAAAGCGUGGGUAUCAAACA
rnacentral:rRNA from 1 species